UACAGAGGUCCCAAGCGUUGUUCGGAUUCACUGGGCGUAAAGGGUGCGUAGGUGGCAGGGUAAGUUUGAUGUGAAAUCUCCGAGCUCAACUCGGAAACUGCAUUGAAUACUAUCCUGCUCGAGGGUUGGAAGGGGGACUGGAAUUCUCGGUGUAGCAGUGAAAUGCGUAGAUAUCGAGAGGAACACCAGUGGCGAAGGCGAGUCCCUGGACAACACCUGACACUGAGGCACGAAAGCUAGGGGAGCAAACAGG
rnacentral:rRNA from 1 species